UUACUAAUCCCUCUGUCCUGAAAUACUUAUCAAAGGAAUGAAUGUUUUUAGAUGUAUUUUAGUUUUAGAUGCAUCCAUUUUUAUCCAUUUCUCCGACAAGUAUUUACGGACGGAGGGAGUAUUUA
rfam:Hordeum vulgare subsp. vulgare, WGS project CAJW01000000 data, contig: morex_contig_68122